AUGCAUAUACUGAUAUUUAUUUGUAUAUGCACAGCGUAAUUAUAUAUAUUUAUAUCUUGGUAGACGACCGAUUGCCUGCUAGUUUGUUAGCUCGACUGCACAAUGUGAUGGUAUCUACACCAACAAUUACAAAGUUCAGUACUAGUGAAUCUAACUUUUAUUUAGUUAGUUAUUUAUGUUGGAUUACUAGGAUAAUUUAGGUUGAUUUAAGGACGGGUUUUAUGAUGCGAUAGCUAGUAGAAAUAACAGUGUUUGUUUAAUUAUAUCCUGGAAAGGGUGAUGUUCAGCACAUGAAGCCCAACAGAUGCCGCCGAUUCAACAAUGCUGAUUAUGAUGGGCGGUCAAUUUAACCUUUGCCUUAUUAGGUCCUCCACAGUCGCCCCAUCAGUCCCUGGCAGUCUGGUCCCUGGAGCAGCUGGCCCUGGCAAAAGUUAUUCCUUCACUGUUGACCCCUGACUGACUGGCCCUCGGCACACAAAUCCCUGGAUCACCUGCCCCUGGAUCACCUGCCCCUGGCAAUGUAACCUCUUGAUUGCUCUCUCCGUCUCCUGUGAUGUCCUUUUCAACGCUCUUGAAAUCCACCUCAAUCUCUGUAAUAAUUACAAGGUAAUGUUGCUGUUAUAUGUAUUUUGCCUUUGCAUUUGCAACUACUGUCAUCUCCAAUGUAAUAAAAUGAAUUAAAGCAAAACAUUUCUGUAAUGUGAAUUAAAUCAUCUGCCACAAUCAGAAACCAAUACAAUUUAUAAAUGGAUCUACCGGCAAUUGUUAAUUGGGUAGAAAUGUGUCGAUUAUCUACAUUGUGUGCAAAUCCUCAGAGAA